GGAAGAUCCCACAUGCUCCACAACUACUGAGCCCACAAGCCACAACUACUGAGCCCACACACCUAGAGUCCGCGCACCACAAUGAAGACCCAAUGCAGCCAAAAUUAAUUAAUUAAUUAAUU